GGGAGGGGGCGGGUAGCCCAGCGGAGGAAGUACAGGGGAACUGUGGGAAUUCAUUGAAGGGGCAGCUCAUGAAACUUAAGAUAGGGUAGUCAGGAAGUGGUGACUAAGCUGAGACCUGAAAGAUGAGAAGGAGUUAGCCAGGGGAAGGCAGAGAAAACAGCAUGUGCCAAAGCCUUGACAUGAAAGGGGAACUAAAGCCUCUUCCCUUCUCCUGGCCCACAGAAGACAUCACUUCCUUGAAGACUUGGCUGACUGUGGGCCUCCUGGCAGCUCCUUCCUGGGGCCGAGGGCCAAAAUCCUGACAAGAUUAAGAAGAGGCUUUGGGACUGGGCCAUGCCGGGAAAACAGGAAAGAUGACGAAUCAAACUCCCCUCUUUCUGGGGGAUGUUUAUUCCAGUGUUCCCUCAGCUGAGUUUUCUGGAUACACAGUAACCCUUGACUUUUCAUCCUGUGCCCAGCCUCUGGCCCCACGGCAACUAGGACACCCCUUAAUCCUAGAGCUCUCAGGACGGGCUUGCUCCCAUGUCUGCUUGGCUAACUGCACCGAACUCCUGGAAAGCAGGAAGAGCACAGAUAUAUCUUAACUGAGUGUGUACCUCGUUCCAUGGGAGAAACCGUCCUCUCAUACAAGCCUCUCCAGCUCCCCAGGGCUUCUGACAACAUGUGGGAGUAGGAUUUUAAAGGAAGACAAUUUUCAGGAGUUUCCCGACCAACGAGCAAGCGAUUGCUUUUUGCAAGCUAGUAUGAACUUUAAAUUAUUUCCAGACUGCAUUUUCCUCUCUGAUUGCAGAAGCAACUUGUGCUCAUUGUGAACUGUUCAAAUGUUACAUAAAGACAGAAAGUGGAGAGUUAAGGUCCUAACUAAUCCUGCUUUGAAAGAGGUGCCCACUGUUUAUCUGAGGCAUGUCCUUCCAGACUUUUCCUGUGCCUAUACUUAAUUCUUGAGCUCUGCUGUGGGCCCUUCUCUAUGUUAGACACUGCAGGGGUGGGACACAGAAUUUCACGGAACACUUAAUCAGCAGUUAAAGCCACCAUUGUACUGAUGACUCAUUCGCUCAGCAUGCACUUAACAUUCAGGUCUCUGGGACCCAGAAAUGAUGAAUCAAGGUCCUGUGUGGCUUUUGAGGGAGACCCGAGAUUGAAUCAGCGAGGAGACCCUCUGGUGUACUUGCCGCCUGAUUACGUGCAUGUCAGCCAAGCCUCAGUGAGAGGGCAGAAUGGUGAUGUGGCCCCCUGCCCAGGGAAUAGGUUUUUCCAACUUCAUUCACUGUGUGUAGGGAACUGAGUAGAAGGUGCUAGAAAGACUGGGCUUGCCACAGGUGGUUUCUGUGCUAUAGGGCUCGUUGCUUCCCUUCCCUGAGCCUCAGGUUCCUCAUUUGAAGAGUGAAGAGAAUCUUCUUGCCUUGAAAGGCACAUUCUCCCAUUCAUUAAUUCCUUAAUUCACUCACUUAUAAAGGACGGUAUUUCCUAAGACUGUGGAGAGUUUACUCUUUAAACAUGGCCAUCUAGGAACGGAAGAGUUGAGUCCUGUGGUAGAUUAUAUUAUUUUUCAGUAAAUAUUUAGUUGCCCCAGCCCUCCUCACCAUGGCAGGAAUAUACUUCCUCAUUCUGUUGAUACUAGACUUAGCCACGUGACUUGCUUUGGCCAAAAGAAUAUGUGUGGAAGUGACAGAGGCCAGCUCCAAGACACUGAGUGUUUCCAUUCACUCUUCUUGAACAACUGUCCUUGGCCAUGAAAACCAUAGUCCCAGAUAGUGGGGGCUUCUUCAGCCUGGACUCAGAAUGAGAAGACACAUGAGGCUGCCUUGUACUCAACCUGCAGCCUGCAGCUCAGCUCAGCCUACACCAGGAGAGCCCUGAUGAACCCCAGUCAACCCACAGCUCCCUAGGUGAGAAAUGAACAUCUACUGUUGCAAGCACUGAGUUUCUGGAAAUUGUUUUCCAUGUAGCAUUGCUGCAGCAAACUCUGACCAGUGUGGAUCCCUAGCGAACUCCUAUGCUGACUUUAGCUUGGGUCUGCGGAAGGAUUCUCUGAGUAGGCGAUAUUUGUCCUGAGAUCUGAAUGUUAAGAAGGAUUUGGUUAUGUGGCCAUCUUGAGGGAAGAGUUCUGGGCAAAGGCAACAGCAAUGCCGUGGUCCUGAGGCUGGAGGAAACCUGGCCUGUUCAGGAAUAGAAAUAAAGCCAGUGGGUGGGCUGGUCUACCUGGUAAGGGAGGGGACAGAGGUCUGAGCUCCAAACCCCUAAGUUCAAUGGGGUGCUUCACAUUUCCACUUGGACAUUCCCCAGACACUUUAGACUCAAAACAUCAGAUCCAAAGCUGAACUUGUGGUCUUCUCCCAAACCUGCCUUCCUUUUUCAUUUCCCCAUCUCAGUCGAUGACAGCACCACCUACUUACUCUGUCACCCAUGCCACAAGGCUCCUCCUUAACUCCUCCCUCUCCCUCAACCCCCACAUUCAAUCUAUCUUCAAGUCCUGCCAGUUCCACUCCACUCAUUCUCUCAUAUUUGUCCACUUCUCUCCACUUCCACUGAGACCACCUGGGUUGAAGGCACUAUCAUCUCUUGCUUGGACGACAGCAUUAGCUAGCCCCCCAGCUUCCCUGCCAGCAUUCUUAGCCCCUCUCCAAUCAGUCCUCCGCAUGGCAGCCAGUGGUCUUGUUUAAAAACAAAUCAUCUCCCAAUAAGUGAAUAGAUAAACAAACUGUAGUACCUCCACACAAUGCAAUAUUAUUCGGCAGUAAAAAGAAAUGAGCUAAGUUCUGGAGAUGGAUGGUGGUGAUUGUUGCACAAUAAUGCAAAUACGCUUAGUUUCAGUGAACUGUACACUUAGAGAUGGUUAAAAUGGUAAAUCUUAUUUUGUGUAUUUUAACACACACACACAAACACAUAUACAAAGGAAUGAGCUCUCAAGCCACGGAAGAACUUGAUAUGCAUAUCGCUAAGUGGAAGAAAUCAGUCUGAAGAGGCUAUGUACUACAUGAUUCCAACUUCAUGACAUUCUGGAAAAGGCAAAACCAUAGGAGGCGGUGAAAAGACAGUGGGUGCCAGCAGUGAAGGGGUGCAGGAGACGGAUGAAUAGAUGAAGCACAGGGUGUUUUUAGGGCAGUGAAACUAGUCUGUAUGACACUGUAAUGGUGAACUCAUGUUGUUACACACUUGUCAAAACCCAGCGGACUGUACAACACACAGAGUGAACCCUAAUGUAAACUGUGGACUUUAGUCAAUAAAAAUCCCCUACAAAAACAACAACAAAAACCCAAAUCUAGUUUCAUGACUCCUCUGUUUAGACCUUUCAAUGCCAGGCCCCCUAACCUGGGCAGGAGGGUUUGUCCUUCCUUCUUCUCCUGACUUAGCCCUAGUCAUUCUUUAAGGGCUCAGCUGAAAUGCCACCUUUUCGGAGAAAACUUCCCUCAUUCCCCAAACUCGAUCAGGCCCACCUGCUUUUAUUUUCCCCUUAGAGUCUGUUCUUCAACUCUGCAGCUUUUGUGCAUUUGUAAUUAGAUACUUAAUUGUUUGUAUUUAUUUGCAUAAUAGCUGUCUUUAAGGCAAAUGUUUAUUUGGAUAAUGGCUGUCUAUUGGACUUAGCCACACCCACCCCAUCUCUCUAGCCACUUUCCCUGAAACUGAUCACUUCUUUCCUGAAGCGCUUUCCGAAUUUGAGCAAUGCCAGAGCUCUAACCAUUUAUUUUGCUAAGAUUUUUUUUUAGUGAAAAAUUGCAAAUAGCCUAUAAUGUCCAAAAUAAGCCCCACAAAGGCAGAAUCAUGUCUGUCUUCUUCACCAUCUUGUCUCUAGCACUUAGCUAGUGCCUGGUACCUAACAGAGCUCACUAAAUGUGUGGUUGGACAGAGUUUGAAAUAAAAGGUCACAUUUUGUAAGAUUCCAUUUAUAUGAAAUAUCCAAAAUAGGUAAAUCUAUAGAGACAGAAAGCAGAUAGGUGGUUAUCAGGGGCUGGGAGAGGACAGAAUGAGGAGCAACUGCUUAAUGAGUAUGGGGUUUCCUUUUGGGGGUUGAAAAUGUUUUGGAACUUGACAAAAGUGGGGGUUGUACAACGUUGUGAAUGUACUAAUUGCCACUGAACUGCAUAUUUCUAAAUGGUUCAUUUUAUCUUAUGUGAACUUCACCUCAAUUUUAAAAAAUUGCUUGAAAUAUUAACCAAUGUAUUGCUUUUUCUGAACAAAGUCUUUUCAUCACCUUUGUUAGGUUCAGACUAGUACCUUUGGCCUCAGAGGUGGUUUUUAUAGCAGAAAUGCAGGAAGAAUAAUAAGUUAAUGUUAGCUUUUUUCCUUAAAACUUUUUAUGCUAGAAAAUUUUGAGUAUAUAAAAAGUAGAGAAAAUAAUAUAAUGAACCUCCACAUACUCAUCACCCAGCUUCAACAGUUGUCAACUCAUGGAUAAAUUUAUUAUAUGCCCAUCUACCUCUCUCCUCUAUUGAAUUAUUUUGAUGCAAAUAUCAGACAUCAUAUGAUUUCAUGCAUAAACAUUUCCUUAUGUCUCUCUAAAAAAUAAGAACUUUAAACACGUAACCACAAUACCAUUAUCACGCCUAAAAAUCAACAACAAAUUCUUAAGAUUAUCAAACGUCCAGUGUUCAAAUAUACCCAAUUGUUGCAUAAUUUUAAAACAUGUGAUGUGUUUGUUUGAAUCAAGAUCCAAACAAGGUCCACAUAGUCCAUCGACUGAUAUGUCUCAAGCUUUUUUAAAUCUGUAGGUUUUCCCUCUCUCUCUUUUUGAAAGUGCCGAAGUGGAAUAGACAGGACUCCCUUCCUCUGUCUUCAAUUUAUUUAUUGAAGAAAUGAGGUAUUUGUUUUGUAGAGUUUCCUGCAUUCUGGAUUUUGCUGAUUGCAUCCCUGUGGUGUCAUUUAACAUGUUCCCUUGACCCCUUUAUUUCACGUGAUUAAUAUCUUGAUAACGUCAGGUUAGAUGUUUUUUGGCAAGAAUACUUCACAGGUGAUGUUGCGUACCUCUACCAGGAGGCACAUCAUGCAUAUUUCUCUCUCUUUCUGUGAAAUUCCUAGUUAUUGAUGAUCAUGACUUAAAUCCAUUGUUGUGUUGAAGGUUGCGAAAUACAAAAUGCAAAAUUCUAAUUCUUAAAAAUUUUUUUCCUUUAUUACCAGAAACACUUCUA